rnacentral:rRNA from 1 species
GGCGGUUCGCCGCCCGUGACGUCGCGAGAAGUCCACUGAACCUUAUCAUUUAGAGGAAGGAGAAGUCGUAACAAGGUUUCCGUAGGUGAACCUGCGGAAGGAUCAUUGUCGUUGGCUUGCGAAACAAGACCGUUGCACGCGUGAUCGAAUGCUGCCGGGGGGGCGUCGCCCCCCCCGGCUCACCGGCCUCGGCCCUCACGCCCUCCGGGCGCGUUGGUCGUGUGCCGAAUACGGCGCGGGUUGACGCCAAGGAACACGAGAUUGCUGAGGCGGCAUGCCGGGCGCCGAGGCGUGCGGCCUGCCCGCCGAUGCAAAGGAACACAUGAUGACUCUCGGCAACGGAUAUCUCGGCUCUCGCAUCGAUGAAGAACGUAGCGAAAUGCGAUACGUGGUGUGAAUUGCAGAAUCCCGCGAACCAUCGAGUCUUUGAACGCAAGUUGCGCCCGAGGGACCAUCCCGAGGGCACGCCUGCCUCAUGGGCGUUAGAAGCCCAUCCACGCUCGGGCGCCGUAGCCCCGUCACUGGUGACGGGUCCCGGUCCCGAUGCGGAUCCUGGCCCUCCGAGCCCGAGGGCGCGGUGGGCCCAAGUUUGCGGCCGUCGGAUGGGGUCUGGAGCGGCGAGUGGUGGGCUGCUGCGCACGUCGCUCCGCGCCCCUUGCCGGCAGAGGGCUUUGUUUCGACCCCUGGACGAGGAGCCGGAUGACGCAGCGCCAUGCUGUGCGGCAUCCUCGGACCGAUACCCCAGGUCAGGCGGGGCUACCCGCCGAGUUUAAGCAUAUAAAUAAG